UGGGGAAUAUUGCACAAUGGAGGGAACUCUGAUGCAGCGACGCCGCGUGAGUGAUGAAGGAAUUCGUUUCGUAAAACUCUGUUCUAUGGGAAGAAAAGGACUGUACCAUAGGAGAAAGCUCCGGCUAAAUACGUGCCAGCAGCCGCGGUAAUACGUAUGGAGCGAGCGUUGUCCGGAAUUAUUGGGCGUAAAGGGUGCGCAGGCGGCUAUACAAGUUGGAUGUGAAAUAUUGUGGCUCAACCACAAACGUGCAUCCAAAACUGCAAAGCUUGAGUUAAGGAGAGGUAAGUGGAAUUCCUGGUGUAGCGGUGGAAUGCGUAGAUAUCAGGAGGAAUACCGGUGGCGGAGGCGACUUACUGGACAUAAACUGACGCUCAGGCACGAAAGCGUGGGGAGCAAACAGG
rnacentral:rRNA from 1 species